rnacentral:rRNA from 1 species
CGAUACCGAGUUUGAAUCCUGGCUCAGGAUGAACGCUGGCGGCGUGCCUAAUACAUGCAAGUCGAACGAGGUGCUUGAGUAGCAAUACGAGAGUAUCCUAGUGGCGAACGGGUGAGUAACAUAUCGGAACGUACCCAGUCGUGGGGGAUAACUAUCCGAAAGGAUAGCUAAUACCGCAUACGUCCUGAGGGAGAAAGCGGGGGAUCGCAAGACCUCGCGCGAUUGGAGCGGCCGAUAUCGGAUUAGCUAGUUGGUGGGGUAAAGGCUCACCAAGGCGACGAUCCGUAGCGGGUCUGAGAGGACGACCCGCCACACUGGAACUGAGACACGGUCCAGACUCCUACGGGAGGCAGCAGUGGGGAAUUUUGGACAAUGGGGGCAACCCUGAUCCAGCCAUUCCGCGUGAGUGAAGAAGGCCUUCGGGUUGUAAAGCUCUUUCAGCAGGAACGAAACGGUGGUCCCUAAUACGGACUACUAAUGACGGUACCUGAAGAAGAAGCACCGGCUAACUACGUG